UACGUAGGUGGCAAGCGUUGUCCGGAUUUACUGGGUGUAAAGGGCGUGUAGGCGGGACGGCAAGUCAGGCGUGAAAACCAUGGGCUCAACCCAUGGCCUGCGUUUGAAACUGUUGUUCUUGAGUACUGGAGAGGUUGGCGGAAUUCCUAGUGUAGCGGUGAAAUGCGUAGAUAUUAGGAGGAACACCAGUGGCGAAGGCGGCCAACUGGACAGCAACUGACGCUGAGGCGCGAAAGCGUGGGGAGCAAACAGG
rnacentral:rRNA from 1 species